rnacentral:tRNA from 1 species
AUCAAAGUAGUUUAAAAAAAACCUUAAUUUGUGGCAUUAAAACUACCAGUCUAAAUCUGGUCUAUGAUC